rnacentral:SRP_RNA from 1 species
CCGAUGCAAGGUUCGGAGCUGUGAGAAGAGGUUCCGAUGGAGGUCGGGGCUCAGAAACCAUAUGAGAUCGCACUCUUCGGCUGAGGAGAUGUCUCCGAGGCUGGAGUCACUAAGCAGCGUGAUUAGCUUCCUGU